AACGAACGCUGGCGGCAGGCCUAACACAUGCAAGUCGAGCGAGACCUUCGGGUCUAGCGGCGGACGGGUGAGUAACGCGUGGGAACGUGCCCUUUUCUGCGGAAUAGCCUCGGGAAACUGAGAGUAAUACCGCAUACGCCCUUUUGGGGAAAGAUUUAUCGGAGAAGGAUCGGCCCGCGUUUGAUUAGGUAGUUGGUGGGGUAAUGGCCUACCAAGCCGACGAACCAUAGCUGGUUUGAGAGGAUGAUCAGCCACACCGGGACUGAGAAACGGCCCAGACUCCUACNNNNNNCAGCAGUGNGGANNCUUAGACAAUGGGGGCAACCCUGAUCUAGCCAUGCCGCGUGAGUGAUGAAGGCCUUNGGGUUGUAAAGCUCUUUCAGCNGNGAAGAUAAUGACNGUACCAGCAGAAGAAGCCCCGGCUAACUCCGUGCCAGCCGCCGCCGUAAAA
rnacentral:rRNA from 1 species